rnacentral:rRNA from 1 species
AGCAGCCGCGGUAAUUCCAGCUCCAAUAGCGUAUAUUAAAGUUGUUGCAGUUAAAAAGCUCGUAGUUGAAUUUCGGGAUCAAUACGUCGGUCGUGCUUCGGUACGUACUGGUGUCAUUGAUUUCUCCCUUCUGACGAACCAUGAUGUCAUUAACUUGGUGUCAUGGGAAAUCAGGACUGUUACUUUGAAAAAAAUUAGAGUGUUUAAAGCAGGCUCACGCUUGAAUACAUUAGCAUGGAAUAAUGAAAUAGGACGUCCGAUCCUAUUUUGUUGGUUUCUAGGAUUGACGUAAUGAUUAAUAGGGAUAGUUGGGGGCAUUAGUAUUCAAUUGUCAGAGGUGAAAUUCUUGGAUUUAUUGAAGGCUAACUACUGCGAAAGCAUUCGCCAAGGAUGUUUUCAUUAAUCAAGAACGAAAGUUAGGGGGUCGAAGACGAUCAGAUACCGUCGUAGUCUUAACCAUAAACUAUGCCGACUAGGGAUCGGAUGAUGUUAAUUAUUUAAUGA